rnacentral:rRNA from 1 species
GAUUAGAUACCCUGGUAGUCCACGCCGUAAACGAUGUCGACUUGGAGGUUGUGCCCUUGAGGCGUGGCUUCCGGAGCUAACGCGUUAAGUCGACCGCCUGGGGAGUACGGCCGCAAGGUUAAAACUCAAAUGAAUUGACGGGGGCCCGCACAAGCGGUGGAGCAUGUGGUUUAAUUCGAUGCAACGCGAAGAACCUUACCUGGUCUUGACAUCCACGGAAGUUUUCAGAGAUGAGAAUGUGCCUUCGGGAACCGUGAGACAGGUGCUGCAUGGCUGUCGUCAGCUCGUGUUGUGAAAUGUUGGGUUAAGUCCCGCAACGAGCGCAACCCUUAUCCUUUGUUGCCAGCGGUCCGGCCGGGAACUCAAAGGAGACUGCCAGUGAUAAACUGGAGGAAGGUGGGGAUGACGUCAAGUCAUCAUGGCCCUUACGACCAGGGCUACACACGUGCUACAAUGGCGCAUACAAAGAGAAGCGACCUCGCGAGAGCAAGCGGACCUCAUAAAGUGCGUCGUAGUCCGGAUUGGAGUCUGCAACUCGACUCCAUGAAGUCGGAAUCGCUAGUAAUCGUGGAUCAGAAUGCCACGGUGAAUACGUUCCCGGGCCUUGUACACACCGCCCGUCACACCAUGGGAGUGGGUUGCAAAAGAAGUAGGUAGCUUAACCUUCGGGAGGGCGCUUACCACUUUGUGAUUCAUGACUGGGGUGAAGUCGUAACAAGGUAACCGUAGGGGAACCUGCGGUUGGAUCACCUCCUUACCUUAAAGAAGC